AUUUCCUAGCGCCCCAACACACACGCACAGGCACAGACGCAAGCCACGCGACUACAUCUUCAUCGGGUGGCGCCCGCUCUCGUGUAUGAGCAGUCCAGCAGGCACGGUGGCACAGCCCGGGGCUGCCGCUGCUGCUGAUGUUUCUGGGGGACCGUUGCGCUCCAUGCAGGCCACGACCGGCGCUAAAAGCGCCGCGGCCGCCACCACAUCUCUUGCUCCCCUCUCCACAAGAGGACUUCCCGCCGACCACCACUCGCCGGCCUCCAUGGUGGCAGUGAUUCAGGAGCAGUGGCUGCAGCUGUGCGAGUACUUCCAGCGGGUGCAGUGCGCCAACACACACGACGAGCGGACUAGCCUGAUGAGGGAGCUAGGCAGCGUGGAGAAGGCUCUCUCAGUCAUACUGGAUGCGUUGCUGACGGAUCGUGCAAUGCUGGCGACUAACCAUCCUGCUCUGCAUCAGCACAGCUACGUCUUUGGGGGCCCCUUCCGCUCCGAAAGCGCGCCGCCGUCGCCACCGGAGUCCUCUGUAGACAUGGGAGCCCGCGGCACGGCGGAGACAAUGACCACUGCCACACACAUUGGCACCUCGCCGUCCGCCUCGCUGUCGUCGUCGUGCCUGCUGGACGGUCUGGAUGGCGCGUGCUUGGCACUGCCGCCGUGCUACCGUUUCCUCUUCGCCGAUUCUCACAGCGUGCCGAUACCUCCGCCCCCGACAGACGAGAGAGGGGAAGCGUCCAAGGCGAAAGAUCCCGCUGCCUUCGGCAACGAGCCCCCGCCAAUCGGCAACAUAUUUCUUCUCAUGCUCUGCCAGUACGCCAAGCAGGACGAGCCGCCCGGCGUCCGCUCUGUCAUUCUGGACUUCCUGGUACGUCUACUCCAGGAGGCUGAUUUGCCGACGGAUCGCUCCGCCUACCCGGCUGGUGAGCGGGCCAUGUCACUGCUGCAGCUGCGCCCGUCCGCGCUCAUUGUGCCGCUGCUAGACAUGGUGCGCAAGGUGAGCAAGGCCCUCGACCCUGCCAACGCCGCCGCCCACCGCCCCACGACGACCUCGACGUCGGGUUCGCCGUCUACGGCAGCGGUGACGGAGACAUAUCGGUGGGCGAUCGUCGACCAGCGCGACGGCACUCUCCUGCAAGACGCUGGCCGCACGCAAUUUGUCAUUUUUCUCAGUACGUUGGCGGAGAAGAUGGAGCGGGUGCCGGCGCUGGCCAACUUCUUUGUCGUCGAGGAUGGCUCACAAGAGCGCAACUUGCUCGUGCUGCUGGACGCGCUGCUGCUCUAUCUGACGCACGACUGCAGCACCCAGGAGUGGACGCACCGGCGCGACACGUGCCGCUUUGCCUUGAGCGCUGUCGUGUCCCUGGCCAAGUGCUCAGAUCCGUGGAUCCAGGACGUCGUUGCCAAGGAGGAGCGCGUGGCGUCGCGCACCCUCAACGCUGCCCGCACCACCCUCUUGACGCUAUGCAAGAUUCCCGAAAACGACGACGGCGCGACGCAGCUGCUAUACCUUCGUGAUGUGAUGCGCUUCUGGGCAACAUUGUUGACGAUGGCGCCGUCCGUCGCGGACACGCUGCGUCUGUUACCCCUCAUCGAGAAGGAGUUUGUCUGCCAGACUCUGCUGCCGCUCCUUCAGUCGCCGGACAGCCACGUGUACUCGGCCGCGUGUGUGGUGGUGUCCAACAUACUUGCAGACCUACAAGGGUCCGCGCCGCUGCUGAAGGUCUGCUUCGCCAAGGCGCUGCUCUCCACGACGAUACGGAAAGCGAGCGGGCGCAUUGUGCCUAAAAAACAGUUUUAUGAGGUUCUGGUGCAGAAUCCGGUCACCGCGGCUUCCGCGACGCGCACGGGCGACCUUGCGGUGACGCGCGGACAGCAGGAGGAGAAGGCCGCCGCGUCUUUGCCCGAGCACCCAAUUACAUCAUUCUUCACCUACUACAUCCUCCCACAUCUGUCCAGCAACCCCUGCCUAUCGGAGGAGGACAAGGAGAGCAGCACCUUGCUAGGCUUCACGACGACACGGUGGUCGGCGACGAAAGCGACGCUGCUACUUGUGCAGACCCUCGCUGAGCAUGUCCCGCACGUGUUUCUGCGCGAGGUGUUCUUGAUGGAUGUCAACUCGUUGUCGGACGUGCAGCGCAAGCAGAUGGCGUGUGCGCUUCACACCGCCGACUCCGGCGGCUGCAAGAGCGCCGAGUCGUGGGGCAGCGCCAUCACACCGCCGCACCUGAACAUUCACGACUGCUUUCUGAGUAGUCUGCUCUCGGCAGCUGCGACAAACCCCAAGAUAGGACUGCAGCCCGAUUGCGUCGGAGAGGCUGUGCUGUCGCGACUGCUGCGGGUGGAGGCCAACAUGCCCGUGGCGGCGCUGCGAGCUCGGCAGCGCAUGAUGAGCGCCAUGAAACCGCCGUGCAGCUCCUCUUCCACGGCGGCCACGGCGGCAACCGAGCCGGUGAACUGUUGGUUUCAUGCCGGUGUGCAGACCUCGCCUUUCACUACGGCUCUGUGCGAAAUGGUGCAGCACCUGGACUCGUCUCCAUACACGGUCAGCUCCCUUGUGGCCGACCUCGUCGUGUCCAUCGCCGUCAUGCCAGACCUACGCGUGCUAUACACGCUCUUGGACUCGAAGCGCGGCCCGCUGAUGACGGCCCUCUGCGGGUUGCGCAGCGUCCUGCAGUGCCACUUGGAAAGAAAGGUCACGGAGACCAGCCCGAUAAAGAAAAUCACGGGUGGCAGUGAGCCUUCAGCGAGCACCAGCACCGCCCGCCGCCCACUUGCCGUCUCCAUUCCGUUUUUGUACGACAUGCUGCUGCAGCACUGGGACCUUCUCGUCGACGACGACACGGAGAGAACCAAGAGUCCAGUCACACCAAACCACUCCUCAAGCGGCUCUGAGGUGUCUGCCGAGGCGCUUCGUGAGGCCAUUAGGGAACACGGCAACGUGCUGUACGCCUGCCUCUACUCCGAGUACCUACAUGCUUAUUUGGACGCCGUCAUUGGCUACACGGCCCUGUCGCAGAACUUGAUGUACCUCAAGGUGUCCGGCUGAGUCGGUGGCGAUGCAGCCAUAACGUAGGUGCCAGAGAAGAGGAGUGGAGCCCGUUGCCCUUCUUUUCAUUGUCUGCGUUGUCCGAGUCGCGUACGCCUUUCUCUACGUGUGUGCUUCUCCCCCUAUCCCACCUCCGCACACAUACACAUAUACAUAAACAUGGACUCGUGUGAGCUGUGCCGCCUCCCUGCUUACCUUUUUCUGUUUGACCUUUCCCAUCAGCACGCCUCUUUCCAGGUUGCGCGUCCCAGCGCUGGCCACCACUAUCGAUGGUUCAUCAUCUUUCUCGUCAUCUCGCCCCCUUUUUCUGUACAUAGUUAUGCCUGGCAGCGAACAGCAGCUCUGUUCUUCGAUCCCCCGUCCGCUAAAAGCCACCCCACG
rnacentral:misc_RNA from 1 species